rnacentral:rRNA from 1 species
CUGCGGAAGGAUCAUUACCGAGUGAGGGCCCUCUGGGUCCAACCUCCCACCCGUGUCUAUCGUACCUUGUUGCUUCGGCGGGCCCGCCGUUUCGACGGCCGCCGGGGAGGCCUUGCGCCCCCGGGCCCGCGCCCGCCGAAGACCCCAACAUGAACGCUGUUCUGAAAGUAUGCAGUCUGAGUUGAUUAUCGUAAUCAGUUAAAACUUUCAACAACGGAUCUCUUGGUUCCGGCAUCGAUGAAGAACGCAGCGAAAUGCGAUAAGUAAUGUGAAUUGCAGAAUUCAGUGAAUCAUCGAGUCUUUGAACGCACAUUGCGCCCCCUGGUAUUCCGGGGGGCAUGCCUGUCCGAGCGUCAUUGCUGCCCUCAAGCACGGCUUGUGUGUUGGGCCCCCGUCCCCCUCUCCCGGGGGACGGGCCCGAAAGGCAGCGGCGGCACCGCGUCCGGUCCUCGAGCGUAUGGGGCUUUGUCACCUGCUCUGUAGGCCCGGCCGGCGCCAGCCGACACCCAACUUUAUUUUUCUAAGGUGACCUC